UACGAAGGGGGCUAGCGUUGCUCGGAAUCACUGGGCGUAAAGGGUGCGUAGGCGGGUUUUUAAGUCAGGGGUGAAAUCCUGGAGCUCAACUCCAGAACUGCCUUUGAUACUGAAGAUCUUGAGUUCGGGAGAGGUGAGUGGAACUGCGAGUGUAGAGGUGAAAUUCGUAGAUAUUCGCAAGAACACCAGUGGCGAAGGCGGCUCACUGGCCCGAUACUGACGCUGAGGCACGAAAGCCAGGGGAGCGAACGGG
rnacentral:rRNA from 1 species